rnacentral:lncRNA from 1 species
CUUCAAUCUUCUGCAUAUGGAUACCCAGUUUUCCCAGAGCCUUUUGCUAAAGAGGCUAUCUUUCUUCCAAUGUGUAUUUUUGGUCCUUUUGUCAAAGAUCAAAUAGCUGGAUGUGUUUGAGGUUGUACAUGUAUCCUCUAUUCUGUUCUACUGAUCUACAUGUCUGUUUUUGUGCCAAUACCAUGCUGUUUUAAUCACUUUAGCCUUGUAGUGUAACUACAAGGGUACUGUAAUACCACUUACUUUGCCUUUGUUGCCCAGGAUUGCUUUUGCUAUUCUGGCUCUCUUCUUGUUGCAUGUGAAUUUUAGGACUGUUUUCUUUAGAUGUGUGAGCAAUGCUAUUGGUAUUUUGAUUGGGAUUGUGUUGAAUUAAUAUAUCAGUUUGAGGAGUAUGGCCAUUUUAGCAAUAUUAGUUCUGCCUAUCCAGUAACAGGAGACAUGUUUCUAUUUUUCUGAUGUUCUCUUCAAUUUCCUUUUUCAAACAACUGUAGUUUUUGUUGUAGAAGUCUUUCAUUUCUUUGGUUAGAUUAAUUCCUAGGUAUUUAAUUUUUCUUGGUGUCAAUGUAAAUGACGUUUUCCUAAUUUCUUUCUCAGUGAGUUCUUUAUUGGUAUACACAAAUGUUAUUGAUUUUUAGGUGGUGAUUUUGUAUUCUGCUACAUUGCUGAAAUUGGUUACUAAUUAUAAGAGUUUUUGGUGGGAUUCUUUGGGUCUUCUAUGUAGAGGAUCAUGUCAUUUGUAAAUAAUAAUUUGACCUCUUUUUUCCUAUACAUAUCCCUUUUAGCUCCUUCUCCUGCCCGAUUGCUGUGAGUUCUAUGUUGAACAGAAGUGCUGAUAGUGGACAUCUUGUCUUGUUUCUGAUUUUAGAGGGAAAGUUUUCAGUUUUUCUCUAUUUAAUAUGAUGUUGGCAAUAAGCUGGUCAACAAUGGCUUUUAUCAGAUUCAGAUGAAUGGAUAAAGAAACAUGAUUAGUUUCUACCCAGCCAUAAAGAAGGAUAAAUUUGAGUCAUAUGCAGAAAAAUGGAUGCACCUUAAGACCAUAAAGCUAAGUAAAAUAAAUCAGACAUAGAAGCUUAACUAUCGCAUGGUUUCUCUUAAAACAGAAAUCCAAAAUAUAAAUAAUUUAAAAGUGAAAUAAGAGAGAUGGUAGGAAACAGAGAAAUGAGAAGGGAUUCUGGGCAAGGAAGAAGAAAGUAUGCUGGGG